rnacentral:misc_RNA from 1 species
GAUGAAGAACGCAGCGAAAUGCGAUAAGUAAUGUGAAUUGCAGAAUUCAGUGAAUCAUCGAGUCUUUGAACGCACAUUGCGCCCCCUGGUAUUCCGGGGGGCAUGCCUGUCCGAGCGUCAUUGCUGCCCUCAAGCACGGCUUGUGUGUUGGGCCUCCGUCCUCCUCCCGGGGGACGGGCCUGAAAGGCAGCGGCGGCACCGCGUCCGGUCCUCGAGCGUAUGGGGCUUCGUCACCCGCUCUUGUAGGCCCGGCCGGCGCUUGCCGACACAUCAAUCUUUUUUCCAGGUUGACCUCGGAUCAGGUAGGGAUACCCGCUGAACUUAAGCAUAUCAAUAAGCGGAGGA